UAAUUCCGAUAACGAACGAAGCUCAAAUAUAUUAAAUUGAUAUCUUCAGGAUUAUGGUGUUGAAGCUUAUAUUGCCUUCAUUCAUGGUAGCAGUAAAAUGUUUAUUGUGUUUGAAUGUGUUUAUAUAAGUGGAGCCGUACCUGUUGGUUUGUCCCAUUAUAAGGACACUAGCUUCUUAAAUGGACAAAUUGCGUCUAGCAAUAAUGAGAUUGAGCAAUAACAGGUCUGUGAUGCCCUUAGAUGUCCUGGGCUGCACGCGCGCUACAAUGAAAGUAUCAACGUGUAUUUCCUAGACCGAGAGGUCCGGGUAAACCGCUGAACCACUUUCAUGCUUGGGAUUGUGAACUGAAACUGUUCACAUGAACUUGGAAUUCCUAGUAAGUGUGAGUCAUUAACUCGCAUUGAUUACGUCCCUGCCCUUUGUGCACACCGCCCGUCGCUACUACCGAUUGAAUUAUUUAGUGAGGUCUCCGGACGUGAUCACUGUGACGCCUUGCGUGUUACGGUUGUUUCGCAAAAGUUGACCGAACUUGAUUAUUUAGAGGAAGUAAAAGUCGUAACAAGGUUUCCGUAGGUGAACCUGCGGAAGGAUCAUUA
rnacentral:ncRNA from 1 species